rnacentral:rRNA from 1 species
GAUGAACGCUAGCUACAGGCUUAACACAUGCAAGUCGAGGGGCAGCAUGGUCUUAGCUUGCUAAGGCCGAUGGCGACCGGCGCACGGGUGAGUAACACGUAUCCAACCUGCCGUCUACUCUUGGACAGCCUUCUGAAAGGAAGAUUAAUACAAGAUGGCAUCAUGAGUCCACAUGUUCACAUGAUUAAAGGUAUUCCGGUAGACGAUGGGGAUGCGUUCCAUUAGAUAGUAGGCGGGGUAACGGCCCACCUAGUCUUCGAUGGAUAGGGGUUCUGAGAGGAAGGUCCCCCACAUUGGAACUGAGACACGGUCCAAACUCCUACGGGAGGCAGCAGUGAGGAAUAUUGGUCAAUGGGCGCAGGCCUGAACCAGCCAAGUAGCGUGAAGGAUGACUGCCCUAUGGGUUGUAAACUUCUUUUAUAAAGGAAUAAAGUCGGGUAUGCAUACCCGUUUGCAUGUACUUUAUGAAUAAGGAUCGGCUAACUCCGUGCCAGCAGCCGCGGUAAUACGGAGGAUCCGAGCGUUAUCCGGAUUUAUUGGGUUUAAAGGGAGCGUAGAUGGAUGUUUAAGUCAGUUGUGAAAGUUUGCGGCUCAACCGUAAAAUUGCAGUUGAUACUGGAUAUCUUGAGUGCAGUUGAGGCAGGCGGAAUUCGUGGUGUAGCGGUGAAAUGCUUAGAUAUCACGAAGAACUCCGAUUGCGAAGGCAGCCUGCUAAGCUGCAACUGACAUUGAGGCUCGAAAGUGUGGGUAUCAAACAGGAUUAGAUACCCUGGUAGUCCACACGGUAAACGAUGAAUACUCGCUGUUUGCGAUAUACAGCAAGCGGCCAAGCGAAAGCGUUAAGUAUUCCACCUGGGGAGUACGCCGGCAACGGUGAAACUCAAAGGAAUUGACGGGGGCCCGCACAAGCGGAGGAACAUGUGGUUUAAUUCGAUGAUACGCGAGGAACCUUACCCGGGCUUAAAUUGCAGAUGAAUUACGGUGAAAGCCGUAAGCCGCAAGGCAUCUGUGAAGGUGCUGCAUGGUUGUCGUCAGCUCGUGCCGUGAGGUGUCGGCUUAAGUGCCAUAACGAGCGCAACCCUUGUUGUCAGUUACUAACAGGUUCCGCUGAGGACUCUGACAAGACUGCCAUCGUAAGAUGUGAGGAAGGUGGGGAUGACGUCAAAUCAGCACGGCCCUUACGUCCGGGGCUACACACGUGUUACAAUGGGGGGUACAGAGGGCCGCUACCACGCGAGUGGAUGCCAAUCCCAAAAACCUCUCUCAGUUCGGACUGGAGUCUGCAACCCGACUCCACGAAGCUGGAUUCGCUAGUAAUCGCGCAUCAGCCACGGCGCGGUGAAUACGUUCCCGGGCCUUGUACACACCGCCCGUCAAGCCAUGGGAGCCGGGGGGUACCUGAAGUGCGUAACCGCGAGGAGCGCCCUAGGGUAAAACUGGU